AGAUUGGCGUGAAGGAAGAAGGCUCAAGUGCUAAGAAAACGGAAGGUUCACAAGAUCGAGGUAAAUCCUCGACUUAGGCGUAAGGAUGGCUUGGAAUGUGCACACUUGGAUUACGCCUACCACACGCUUCCAUUAAUAAGACUUUGUUUUGAAUGGGUCAAUUGUGGUGUUUUGUACUUAACCUUAACUCGUAUAUGGUACUUAUCGUUGGAAAAUUUUUAGUAGUAAUAGUCGUGUUGUGUUCUAUGAAGUCUUUUGUUUUUAGAAGUUUCGUCAUAACUAUUAAACUUGGAAGUUUGGUUUGUAAAACAGGUUGUUGUGGUUUGAAACGAAUAGGUCAUGACGAAAUUUUCAAAAAUUUUCUUAA